UCCGCCGUAGUGUAAUUGGCAGCACGGCACCCUUUGGAGGUGUUCGGUCUAGGUUCGAGUCCUAGCGGCGGAGCAA
rnacentral:tRNA from 3 species